rnacentral:rRNA from 1 species
UACGUAGGGCGCAAGCGUUGUUCGGAAUUACUGGGCGUAAAGGGCGCGCAGGCGGAACGAUAAGCCAGGGGUAAAAGACCGGGGCUCAACCCCGGAUGCGCUUCUGGGACUGUCGUUCUAGAGAGGGUCAUGGGCUGGCGGAAUUCCUGGUGUAGAGGUGAAAUUCGUAGAUAUCAGGAGGAACACCGGUGGUGCAAACGGCUGGCUGGGACCGCUCUGACGCUGAGGCGCGAAAGCGUGGGUAGCAAACAGG